rnacentral:misc_RNA from 1 species
GCAAAACUCCUCGAUCAUACGGUUGAAAAACACCAAGCACGCCUAAACAUAGAAUGACCACCACAACUGCCAACAUCUGUGUUCCACAACCAAGCGCUGAGGAAAGCAAAUACUUGCACUUUGGGUACCGGAAGACAUCGCCAUGGAGGCUUUUCCACCCAGUUUCUUCUUGGUUAUCGGAAAAUUCAUCAUCCUGUGCAAGCUUGUAAAUAUCUCUCCUCAGGACUCGCAAGUAAAUUGCUCCCAUACAUGACAUCAAGAUGAAAAUUGUCGCACAUGAGUUUAAA